rnacentral:rRNA from 1 species
AACGAACGCUGGCGGCAUGCCUAACACAUGCAAGUCGAACGAGACCUUCGGGUCUAGUGGCGCACGGGUGCGUAACGCGUGGGAACCUGCCCUUAGGUUCGGAAUAACUCCCCGAAAGGGGUGCUAAUACCGGAUAAUGUCUUCGGACCAAAGAUUUAUCGCCUUUGGAUGGGCCCGCGUUGGAUUAGCUAGUUGGUAGGGUAAAAGCCUACCAAGGCGACGAUCCAUAGCUGGUCUGAGAGGAUGAUCAGCCACACUGGGACUGAGACACGGCCCAGACUCCUACGGGGGGCAGCAGUGGGGAAUAUUGGAAAAUGGGCGAAAGCCUGAUCCAGCAAUGCCGGGGGGGGGAUGAAGGCCUUAGGUUUUUAAAGCUUUUUUACCCGGGAUGAUAAUGACAGUACCGGGAGAAUAAACCCCGGCAAACUCCGU